rnacentral:rRNA from 1 species
GUGGGGAAUUUUGGACAAUGGGCGCAAGCCUGAUCCAGCCAUGCCGCGUGCAGGAUGAAGGCCUUCGGGUUGUAAACUGCUUUUGUACGGAACGAAAAAGCUCUCUCUAAUACAGGGGGUGAAUGACGGUACCGUAAGAAUAAGCACCGGCUAACUACGUGCCAACAGCCGCGGUAAUACGUAGGGUGCAAGCGUUAAUCGGAAUGACUGGGCGUAAAGCGUGCGCAGGCGGUUAUGUAAGACAGAGGUGAAAUCCCCGGGCUCAACCUGGGAACUGCCUUUGUGACUGCAAGGCUAGAGUGCGGCAGAGGGGGAUGGAAUUCCGCGUGUAGCAGUGAAAUGCGUAGAUAUGCGGAGGAACACCGAUGGCGAAGGCAAUCCCCUGGGCCUGCACUGACGCUCAUGCACGAAAGCGUGGGGAGCAAACAGGAUUAGAAACCCUGGUAGUCC